UCUCGGAAUCCAAGGAUCAAGAAUCACCUACAGAAUGCGAGUGAGAAAUUCGGAGUAAUCUUCACCUUAUUCUUUCCCAAAGCUUCGGCUGCGAGAAAUGAAACCGCCCCUAAGGGCCCGACGUGAUUCUUCACGUCCGCACGUUUGGCAUCAGAAAUCACGGGGGGAGGGAGGAAAGGAGGAAGAAAGAAAUUCCUUUUUUCUUUUCUCUUUUCCCCCCAUGGGAGUCCAGUGCGAAGAUGGUUAUUCCUCUUUAUACUUGAUCGUUUUCACUUCUUGCUCUUUCUUUCUUUUCUCUGCUUCGGUGGGGAGGGAAGGGGGACGGGAGGUGGUUAUGUGAGAGGGGAGGUUUACUUUAGUGCGAUACGUGGCGUAUCUGACGUUUCUUUUCACCUUCGGGUGGGAAGAACGGAGGGUAUGAUUCGAUUCCGAUUACUCUGGUGGGGA
rnacentral:ncRNA from 2 species